UGGGGAAUUUUGGACAAUGGGCGAAAGCCUGAUCCAGCCAUGCCGCGUGAGUGAAGAAGGCCUUCGGGUUGUAAAGCUCUUUUAGUCGGAAAGAAAGAGUUGCAAUGAAUAAUUGUGAUUUAUGACGGUACUGACAGAAAAAGCACCGGCUAACUACGUGCCAGCAGCCGCGGUAAUACGGAGGGUGCGAGCGUUAAUCGGAAUUACUGGGCGUAAAGGGUGCGCAGGCGGUCUUACAAGUCAGAUGUGAAAGCCCCGGGCUUAACCUUGGAAUUGCGUUUGAAACUACAAGGCUAGAGUGCAGCAGAGGGGAGUGGAAUUCCAUGUGUAGCAGUGAAAUGCGUAGAGAUGUGGAAGAACACCGAUGGCGAAGGCAGCUCCCUGGGUUGACACUGACGCUCAUGCACGAAAGCGUGGGGAGCAAACA
rnacentral:rRNA from 1 species